UACGGAGGGAGCUAGCGUUAUUCGGAAUUACUGGGCGUAAAGCGCACGUAGGCGGCUUUGUAAGUUAGAGGUGAAAGCCUGGAGCUCAACUCCAGAAUUGCCUUUAAGACUGCAUCGCUUGAACAUCGGAGAGGUAAGUGGAAUUCCGAGUGUAGAGGUGAAAUUCGUAGAUAUUCGGAAGAACACCAGUGGCGAAGGCGACUUACUGGACGAUUUGUUGACGCUGAGGUGCGAAAGCGUGGGGGAGCAAACAGG
rnacentral:rRNA from 1 species